UACGUAGGGGGCAAGCGUUGUCCGGAUUUAUUGGGCGUAAAGAGCGUGUAGGCGGCCAAACAGGUCAGCUGUGAAAACUCGAGGCUCAACCUCGAGACGUCGGUUGAAACCGUUUGGCUAGAGUCCGGAAGAGGAGAGUGGAAUUCCCAGUGUAGAGGUGAAAUUCGUAGAUAUUGGGAAGAACACCGGUGGCGAAGGCGGCCCACUGGCUCGUAACUGACGCUCAGGCGCGACAGCGUGGGGAUCAAACAGG
rnacentral:rRNA from 1 species